UUUCUUUGGUGGCAAAUAUCCUAAAAAUGAAAUAAUACAGAAAAGAUUAGCCUGGCCCUUGCGCAAGAACGCCACUUCAAUUUGGGAAGUGUUCCAUAUUUGU